CACGUAGGGCGCAAGCGUUGUCCGGAAUUAUUGGGUGUAAAGAGCUCGUAGGCGGUCUGUUGCGUCCGCUGUGAAAACCCGGGGCUUAACCCUGGGCUGGCAGUGGAUACGGACAGACUAGAGGUAGGUAGGGGAGAAUGGAAUUCCCGGUGUAGCGGUGAAAUGCGCAGAUAUCGGGAGGAACACCGGUGGCGAAGGCGACAUCCUGGACCGGUAUUGACGCUGAGGCGCGAAAGCCAGGGGAGCAAACGGG
rnacentral:rRNA from 1 species